rnacentral:rRNA from 1 species
GUCCUCUUGUAUUUAUAUGAGGUCUGACCUGCCCAGUGAGUAUUUAACGGCCGCGGUAUUUUGACCGUGCAAAGGUAGCAUAAUCAUUAGCCUUUUAAUAGAAGGCUGGAAUGAAAGGUUCAACGAAUCAUUAGCUGUCUCAUUUAUAUAAUUUAAAAUUUAAUUUUUAAGUUAAAAAGCUUAAAUUGUAUUGUAGGACGAGAAGACCCUAUAGAGCUUUACAUUUUAUUUUUAAAUAUUUUAUUGAUAAAUAAAUUUAUAUUUAAAUUUUAAUGUUUUGUUGGGGUGAUAAAAUUAUAUAAUAAACUUUUUUAUUUUAAAAACAAAUAUUUUUGAUUACUUGAUCCAUUAUUAUUGAUUAAUAGAUUAAGUUACCUUAGGGAUAACAGCGUAAUCUUCUUUUGGAGUUCAAAUUUACAAGAAGGCUUGCGACCUCGAUGUUGGAUUAAGAUAAUAAUUUGGUGUAGUAGUUAAAUUAAUAGGUCUGUUCGACCUUUAAAAUCUUACAUGAUCUGAGUUCAGACCGG